GGCCCGUUGAUGAUGAUUUCUGGUCUAACCUGCCCAAUGAGAAUUAAAUGGCUGCGGUAUAUUGACCGUACAAAGGUAGCAUAAUCAUUAGUUUUUUAAUUGAAAGCUUGUAUGAAAGGUUUAAUGAGAAAAUUACUGUCUCUAGAGGAAUUUAUUAGAAUUUUAUUUUUAGGUGAGAAAGCUUAAAUAUUUAUAGAAGACGAGAAGACCCUAUAGAUUUUUAUAAUUAUUUAUAUAAGCAAAUUAAAGGAAAGAAAAUGUACUUUUAUAAUUUAAUUAUUUUGUUGGGGUGAUAGAAAAAUUUAAGAAACUUUUUUUUUAUAAAUUAAACAUUAAUUUAUGGAGAGAUGAUCCUUGUAUAAAGAUUAAAAGAGUAAAUUACCUUAGGGAUAACAGCGUGAUUUUUCUUAGAGUUCUUAUCGAAAGAAAAGAUUGCGACCUCGAUGUUGGAUUAAAAUAAAUAUUUGGUGAAGAUGCUGAGUAAUUAGGUCUGUUCGACCUUUAAAAUUUUACAUGAUCUGAGUUUAAACCGGUGUGAGCCAGGUCGGUUUCUAUCU
rnacentral:rRNA from 1 species